rnacentral:lncRNA from 1 species
GUCUCUGUUAAUAUCUACAGUAUAUUCAGUGACCUUUUCUACCGAGCUCUUGCUUCUUUGACAACACAACAAUAUAGUAAGUCCAAAAAUGCCACUGUUUAACAUAAAAUUAUUCAUGGAAAUUAAUUAAUUAAUUAGUCUAUGUAGCUUUGACUACACAAGAACUCAGACCAGGCAGGCCUUGAGUUUAGAAUUCAUCUACUGCUUCUCUCCUUUCUGAGGACUGGAUUAAAUAAAACCUCACAGCACCACCAUGCCCAGUUUCUGUAUUAUUUUUCUGAAGUCCAUAUUAAUUUACUCUACAGUUCCUUGUUCUGUCUGUAUUUAGGUCCUUGAACACAGACAGGCAGGACUCCUAGAUUUCUCAACGCAGUGUUCCUUGCAACAUAUUAAACAUGAUUUUUUUAAAAAGGCAUGAGCUAACUAGAUCCUGCAUGUCCUUCUCUGGGGUCUAGCCUGAUAAGUGUCCUCACCCUGCAUCAAGGAAAUCUGUCUUUGCAACAGACAGAAAUCUGCAACCAAUGAAAAUGCAGAGUUGUGGAACCCAGUGCCAAGAGACACAUUGACAGCACAACUCCUGACCCUCAGGCUGAGAAACCAACUGCCGAGAGUGGGUGGGGAGAGCGUAAGAGCCAGAGGGACGCACGGCUCUAUACAUACGCACGCACGCACGCAUGCACGCAUGCAUGCACGCGUUUCAGAGUUAAAUCUAGAAUUCCUUGUAAUAGAAAGUAUGGCUGAGGGGGCUGGAGAGAUGGCUCAGCAGUUAAGAGCAUCGACUGCUCUUCCAGAGGUCCUGAGUUCAAUUCCCAGCAACCACAUGGUGGCUCACAACCAUCUGUAAUGGGAUCUGAUGCCCUCUUCUGGUGCGUCUGAAAAAAGCAACAGUGUACUUAUA